GACCAGAUUUGAAGCUCGAAAAAAUGGCUCAAAUUGCUAAGGUCUCACAGAAGGUCACAAGUUCUAUGAAUUCCUUAAGAACAAAAUGGACUUUGUCUUUCAAAUGUUCUUUGAAGUUUAUAAGAGCUGGAAGGUUUUGGAAGGAAAUGAUUUGGCUCAUGACAGUCUCAUCCACUUAAAAUAUAACGUUGAUGGCUCGUCAGAGGCGAAGGAGAGGCUAGCUAGAUGCGAACAAAUCGAUUAACUUUUGAGUGCCUUGAGAGAUCUAUUCAGAGAUUAUGAAGUUUUCAAAUUGAAAAUUCAAGCUCUUUGCCAUGGUAGCAAUGGGAGAUCAACUGAUUGGUCCAUAGAAUAUGUGAAGGCCAAUGAAGAUGUGGCUCCACCACAUAACUAUCUCAUAAUUGCAGCUAAAAUUAGCAAAGGCAUUGAUGAUUACCUUUGCAAAAACUGAACUAGAAUCCACCCAUCUUGGCUUGCCUAUUGAAAUAUGAUCUAAAUAAG